rnacentral:rRNA from 1 species
GACGUAGGGCGCGAGCGUUGUCCGGAUUAUUGGGCGUAAAGAGCUCGUAGGCGGCUUGUCGCGUCGGAAUGUGAAAACCCACAGCUCAACUGUGGGCUUGCAUUCGAUACGGGCAGGCUCGGAGUUCGGUGAGGGGAGACUGGAAUUCCUGGUGUAGCGGUGAAAUGCGCAGAUAUCAGGAGGAACACCGGUGGCGAAGGCGGCCCCCUGGCCGGCC